AAAACUUCGAUAUUUUGCUCAUCGGGAAUUUCUCUGCGUUCAUUGGUGUUUUCGUGAUCGCACUGCAGCGUCAUUUCUCAUGAACACUGACUGUUUUUUUCUCCCUUCAAAUUUUGUGCCCGAGAUAGGUGCCCUCCUCCAGUGACGCCACUCAGUCUUGUGGUUUUAAUAACAUCCCUGAGUUCUACAAGCUCCUGGCCAGACUCCUCUUCUGAAUUCUGGACUCAGGUCCAGCUGGCUGCUGGAGCCUCCUCCUGCUGGUGACCCAAGGUGACCCCAUGGGCCCUCCCCGCCUGGUAUUCACACCCCUGGGCAGUCUCGCCCCCUGAGUUUGUGUGGCUUGCUUCUACCCAUUGGAACGCAGCAGAGCCAAUGGGCCAUCCCUGUCCUGAGUAUAUUGCGUUAGGUAAGACCCUGUAUUGGCAGACUGGAGCUAACAACCCCCUUGCUGGCUUGAUGAAGUAUGUGGCCACCUAGGAGACCCCCAGAUGGCCUGUAGGGACAGAGGGCGGCCACCAGCUGGCAGGCUGCCAAAGCCAGGCCCUCCGUGCUCGCCCAUGACCUGAAUGAGUUUGGAAGGUGGGUCCUUCCCCAGUCUGGCCUUCAGUUGAGAACACGGUCUCGUGUGAUCCUGAGCACGGGGGCCAGCUCAGCCACGUCCAGAUUCCGGACCCACAGAAACUGAGAGGUAUUAAAUGUGAGCUGGUUCAAGCCACCAAACUUGUGACCACAGCCCAAUGACUGGCAAGCUGCUCAGAUCUGACACACACCAGACUGAAGCCUGUGGCUUCCCACGGCCUUCCCUGCCUCAGGCAGCACCCUCUGUGAUCAACUGAGACCACAUCUCCUAGGGUCAGCAUGACAUGUUUCCACAGCCUGGAAGUGCUGGCUGCCCCACCCCCAGAACAUACCUAGCAUUGGCCCACCUGUGCCGCACCUGCCUUGGUUAAACAGAGAACCACCCAGGCCUCAUCACAGGGCUGGCGGCUUCCAUCCUCAGCGGCUAAAACCUGACUCAGGCCAUGUCCCACCUCUGCUCAAUCCUCCCCGGGGCUUCCACUCAGGGCAAAAUGCCUGGGAGACCCAGUCCCACCCAUCCUCCCUCGUCUGUCCUCAGCUGUUCCUCCUUCCUCCCUCACUAGAGCCACGGAGCCUUCCCACUGCUCCUCAAACGUGCAGGACACAAUCCUGCCCCGGGGCCUUUGCAUCUGCUGUGCCUGCUGCCUGCCGUGCUUAUCUAUAUCCUCAUGGCAGAUGCUUCCACCCCCCUGCUGUAUCUGUUUUCUCCUGGAUUGUGCAGUCUGCACCCUUGGGAGUAGACUGCGGGAUGGCGCUGAGCCUGGACUUCCGUGGGUCCCUUUGGGAGAAGCGGAAGUCAGGGAAAGAGCAAAUGGACGUUCUCUUCAUUCUUAACCCAAUCCUGACCGAGAGAACCGCCAUCUCACCCCACACUCUGGCCUCACGGCUCCAGGGGGCACAGCUUGGUGUCAACGGCCGGGACGUCACUCCUCAGGACAGUGUGCCAGAGCAAUGGACCAAGGCUUCAAGGGCUGCCACCAGAGGCAUCGUCUCGGGGGCCGCUUGCUGCGACGACGCUCACGCACCACUGCACAGAUGCAGGCCCGGAAGCGGUUCUUCUGGCCCCGGCCAACACCCUGACGGCAACAUCAUGAGAGGCCCCGAGCCCAGACCACCUGGAUGAAUCACCCCCAGAUCCCGCCCCACGGAAACCGUGGCAUGAUAAACUGAUAAACGUUUGUUGUCAGUAAACCUCACCCCCAACAUGGGGCUCGCACUCCUGACUCCAAGAUCAAGAGUCACAGUCUCCAGCAACUGAGCCUACCAGGUGCCUCUAAUAAAUGUUUUAAUCUGCUAA